GAAGCUGCGGGUGUCACGUAAGUGACGCGGUAGAGGAGCGUUCUGUAAGCCUGUGAAGGUGAGUUGAGAAGCUUGCUGGAGGUAUCAGAAGUGCGAAUGCUGACAUGAGUAACGACAAUGGGUGUGAAAAACACCCACGCCGAAAGACCAAGGGUUCCUGCGCAACGUUAAUCGACGCAGGGUUAGUCGGUUCCUAAGGCGAGGCUGAAAAGCGUAGUCGAUGGGAAACAGGUUAAUAUUCCUGUACUUCUGGUUACUGCGAUGGAGGGACGGAGAAGGCUAGGCCAGCUUGGCGUUGGUUGUCCAAGUUUAAGGUGGUAGGCUGAAAUCUUAGGUAAAUCCGGGGUUUCAAGGCCGAGAGCUGAUGACGAGUCGUCUUUUAGAUGACGAAGUGGUUGAUGCCAUGCUUCCAAGAAAAGCUUCUAAGCUUCAGGUAACCAGGAACCGUACCCCAAACCGACACAGGUGGUCGGGUAGAGAAUACCAAGGCGCUUGAGAGAACUCGGGUGAAGGAACUAGGCAAAAUGGCACCGUAACUUCGGGAGAAGGUGCGCCGGCUAGGGUGAAGGAUUUACUCCGUAAGCUCUGGCUGGUCGAAGAUACCAGGCCGCUGCGACUGUUUAUUAAAAACACAGCACUCUGCAAACACGAAAGUGGACGUAUAGGGUGUGACGCCUGCCC
rnacentral:rRNA from 1 species